AGGAGCUCGGAGAAGAAGCUCGUCAACCGCCGAAUCUUCCGACUCUUCAGCGGAGGAUAAAAGAGAUUGUUCGUGUUCUCACGAACUUCAAGACUCUGAGGCAGGAGGGGACCUGUCGGAAGAAUACAUUGGCCAGCUCAAGGCGGACAUAAUGUCUUAUUAUGGCUA